ACCUCCAAUCAGUCAAGAAUACCCGCUGAAUUUAAGCAUAUAACUAGGCGGAGGAAAAGAAACUAACCAGGAUUCCCUCAGUAACUGCGAGUGAAGCGGGAAAAGCUCAGACUGAAAAUCUUCGGAAUUGUAGUCUGGAGAAGUAUGGUCAGCAGAUGAUGAUAGGUAAAGUCUUCUGGAAAGGAGCGCCUUGGAGGGUGAUAGCCCCGUUCAUACCCAUCAUUAGAAGCGUACGACCUACUUUCUACGAGUCGAGUUGUUUGGGACUGCAGCUCAAAGUGGGUGGUAAAUUCCAUCUAAAGCUAAAUAUUGGUGGGAGACCGAUAGCGUACAAGUACCGUGAGGGAAAGAUGCAAAGAACUUUGAAAAGAGAGUUAAAGAGUACCUGAAACUGCUGAAAGGGAAGCGAAGGAAACCAGUGUCGGC
rnacentral:rRNA from 1 species